rnacentral:rRNA from 1 species
AAUCAACGCUGGCGGCGUGCCUAACACAUGCAAGUCGAGCGAGAAAAGGGGAGCAAUCCCCUGAGUACAGCGGCGCACGGGUGAGUAACACGUGGGUAAUCUGCCCUGGAGUGGGGAAUAACACCGGGAAACCGGUGCUAAUACCGCAUACGAUCACAGAGUCUGCGGAUUUUGUGAUGAAAGGAGCAAUUCGCUCUAGGAGGAGCCCGCGGCUGAUUAGCUAGUUGGUGAGGUAAUGGCUCACCAAGGCAACGAUCAGUAUCCGGUCUGAGAGGACGGUCGGACACACUGGAACUGAGACACGGUCCAGACUCCUACGGGAGGCAGCAGUGGGGAAUUUUUGGCAAUGGGGGCAACCCUGACCAAGCAACGCCGCGUGGGUGAUGAAGUCUCUUGGGACGUAAAACCCUUUCGACGGGGACGAAGCCGCAAGGUUGACGGUACCCGUAGAAGAAGCCCCGGCUAACUCCGUGCCAGCAGCCGCGGUAAUACGGGGGGGGCAAGCGUUGUUCGGAAUUACUGGGCGUAAAGGGUGCGUAGGCGGUUCGCUAAGUUGGAUGUGAAAACUCUGGGCUCCACCCAGAGCCUGAUCCAAACU